CCGGGGUCUGACUGCAAUGGAGAAGUCUAGUCUCCAAGCUGGGGGACAGCCCAGGAGCAUCUCCUUGGCUGAAGGGCAGGCACUCAGAGGAGAAUAAAAGGCCUGGCAGAGCUCAGUGGCCUCCCUGCAUCUGUACACCUCAGUGCAAUUAAUGAGAACAGCUUUUGGAAAGAGCGUCGUCCCUCUGCUGACUGCCAUUUAGCCUCUGGCUGUCAGAUCACCUGUGGUCACAAUGAAAGCAUCCUGCAGGAUGGAUGAGGGCAGGGACCUACUUCUUCCAUCUAGGACAGCAGGUGCAGGCAUCCCGGGAUAUUCUUCCCUGCAGUGUGAAACCAGGUGAUAUUUACUGGCCCGAGUGAAUGAGCGAAGCGGCCCCAUCGCGGAAUAGAGGGCACUCCUCUCACUCAUGGAUUUUUCUCUCCUUCUUUCUUUCUUCAUUAUGUUUGUAAUUUUGUUUUAUUAUUUCCCAUUGGAAAGCUGUGAAAUGAAAAUGAUGCAAUCUACUGCUGUGAAAUAAUGUCGUGCUCGAGUCCUUUUCCAAUAAGCCCCGAGGUUUGCACUGUGACGGCUUCAUUAAAUUAGUCGACUCCACGGCAAAUGGAAAAGCGCUCAGAGCUUCAGAGUUGGCUAAUCCGCGGUGGGCUGCCAGAGACUGUAGCCCAUGAGGGAGCUCAGACGAUUGGCUCUGCAUGGCAGGGGCCAGCGGGCUUCCACCUGCCACGUGGGGGACAUCUGCACAGCUGCUGGAACUCCCUUAGUCCUCCCACCCCCAAAGCCUGCAUGCCAGACGCUGUCCCAGGUGCUGAAAAGAUGGAGCGGUUGGUUGGGGCAGGAACGCUCAGUGGGUGGCACGGGAGAAGCAGGGCAUUCUUCUGUGGGUCAUUUAAAAGGACACACAGACAUAGGGUUAGCUUCUCUCCAGAGGCUAGGGCUCAUCUUGUCAGAUGCCAGUAGACACGCCUGAGAUGCUUGCUGAUGAAAUACAAGGGCUCCUGCCCCAGCCUUCCAACACCAUCCCCCUGAGUUUCUGAGAACAAAUUCACUCUGGCCGGGCUCCACUGCAGCAUUAAAAAUGUUCAUCCCUGAUAGUUCUUUCCAGUUAGCAUGCUCAGUAUUAAACUCUGUCAUUAUGAAGCUAAAUAUGCACGAUCCCCAAAUCUAUGUGUAUUAUAACAAGAUUUUAUUGUUAUAAAUUUGUCUUCUCUGUC